AGAGUUUGAUCCUGGCUCAGGACGAACGCUGGCGGCGUGCCUAAUACAUGCAAGUCGAGCGGACAGAUGGGAGCUUGCUCCCUGAUGUUAGCGGCGGACGGGUGAGUAACACGUGGGUAACCUGCCUGUAAGACUGGGAUAACUCCGGGAAACCGGGGCUAAUACCGGAUGGUUGUCUGAACCGCAUGGUUCAGACAUAAAAGGUGGCUUCGGCUACCACUUACAGAUGGACCCGCGGCGCAUUAGCUAGUUGGUGAGGUAACGGCUCACCAAGGCGACGAUGCGUAGCCGACCUGAGAGGGUGAUCGGCCACACUGGGACUGAGACACGGCCCAGACUCCUACGGGAGGCAGCAGUAGGGAAUCUUCCGCAAUGGACGAAAGUCUGACGGAGCAACGCCGCGUGAGUGAUGAAGGUUUUCGGAUCUUAAAGCUCUGUUGUUAGGGAAGAACAAGUGCCCCCCAAAUAGGGCGGCACCUUGACGGUACCUAACCUGAAAGCCACGGAUAACUACGUGCCAGCAG
rnacentral:rRNA from 1 species